AGAACUUCCAGAACCAGGUAGAAAUAUUUGACAGAAACAUGGCUCCCAUAAGCACCUGACUUUAUCAAGUGGAAGCUCUGUUGGAAAAGAUUGAAAAGUAACCACAUUUACUGUCAGAACUGGAUGAUGCUGGCCUCCAGGUAGAGAAGGUCCACAGCCAAGUCCUUGUUUUGAUGAAUGCCUGAGGGGGCUCCAGCAGGGAGUUGGUCAAACUCAAACUAGCUGAACUGAAUAGACUUUGAGAAGUUUUCCCAGCAUAUCAAAGUGUCAACUCCCCCAGGGAAACUGUAAGAGGACAUUUCUCAUGUCAAAGCAGAUGAAGAGGACCCAACAAACAUCAAGGUGACCUCAAGAACAAGAGAAACAAGGGUGUAUUCUGGAAUUACUCACUGGCUAAGGAA